AUUGAACUCCUGUUGGUAGUUAGACCAGUCAUUAACUUGAUGUUGAUCAGCUGCUUGACAUAUUGUUUCUGGUUGAACUGUUGUGCAGUAAUCUUCAUCGGGUCCACGCAACAUAGCUUCGAUUACUUGUGGAACAUCUUGUUCCUCCAUAUUUACCCCAUGAUUUUUCUUUGAUCUUACAUUCUUCUUGAUUCGGCACACAACAAUAUCCUCCUUAGGAAUAUUGUUUUCUCUAAAGAAAUCAUCCCCGACGGAAUAUUCUCUCAUCAGCCAAAUUUUAUUGUGCUCUCUUUCUUUACUACGACUUUGAAACUUGAAACAUCUUCUAAACCCAACUACAGUUCCCUUACCUUUCUUGAUAGGAUCAAUACCUGUUUGGCCUUUCCAUGUCCCGUACGCGCAAGUUCGACGAACCCUUGUAUGUUCCCUCUUCUUCUUCUUCAACCCAGUAAAAAUAUAGCGAACCUUCUCUUCGGGAUGAUCAGAAUUAGCUUCAAAUAUCUCCCAUGGUGGUUGGUCUCCAUAGAUAUCGGCAAGUUGGAAAUUAUGGCAUUCACUCUGCAAAAGCUCGCCCUUUAGGAACCUUUUCAGAAAGUUGAUCAACUCUGCUUCAGUAGGGUGAAACCGAACACCCAUGAUACACCCACGGCGUGCAGCUGGCACCAUCGACAUGGUAUAUAUGGUCGUCGUCUCUUUUUCUUGCUUUAGAGAAACACAAGAACGAGACAAUAGUAGUUGCCGCAUGCAGCCGGCACCAUCGACAUGGUAUAUAUGGUCGUCUCUUUUUCUUGCUUAUAGAGAAACACAAGAACGAGACAAUAGUAGUUGCCGCAAUAUGCUAGGAAACAAAACCCUAAACGAAUAGCGGAAGUUACUUUGUAUGAAUGCUGUAAUAUAAUGGACUAUUUAUAGAUAUUUGAUCAGAUUAAUUCCAACAACGAAAAUUUAGGAACAAAUUUUUAGGAGAGAAAAGACGUGUUGAUUUCUGCGGAAGGUUAACGCUUAGGACUCAAGUUAGUUUUUUCGUAAUAUACAAUGCGUAACUUUUUUCACAAUUGAACUAAUUAACAGUUGUGAACAGGUCAAAAUUAACUGAAAAUAUAAUUUCGUGUUUUUUCUGUUGGAUACUAGUUUCCAGUUUGGUCUAGAACCCUAAAUCUAAAUGAUUUUUUGAAGUGGGCUGUUUAAGUUUAACAGAAGAAAAGAAAUUAAUGGGCAAUUUACGUACUUCCCUCUUUUUGAUUAUUUACAAGUUUUUGCUUUAACUAUAUUCAACUAAUGCGUUAAAUAGAGGAAAUUUCUGAAUAAACAAUUUCUUUUACAAGAAAUGGAAAAGCUAGUUAAUUUACCCCAACGUAAACUAGAGAAAAGGAGUUGUAAACUUCAGAAUUUAACAUCAUCCAUACGCUUCUUGAAACAACCUUUUCUUGGAAUUAACUUGACUCAAUAUAUAUGCAUUUUCACCUUAUUUACUAGUGCAUUUUCACAUUAUUUAUUAUUACUUUUCAAUCAUGCAUGAUAAAGUUUGGUGUAAAUAUUGGGUGCGAGUAAGCUUUUACCGUCAUAUAUAUAUAUAUAUAUAUNNNNNNNNNNNNNNNNNNNNNNNNNNNNNNNNNNNNNNNNNNNNNNNNNNNNNNNNNNNNNNNNNNNNNNNNNNNNNNNNNNNNNNNNNNNNNNNNNNNNNNNNNNNNNNNNNNNNNNNNNNNNNNNNNNNNNNNNNNNNNNNNNNNNNNNNNNNNNNNNUAUAUAUAUAUAUAUAUUUAACUUAAUUCCUUCUAUAUAUUAACGGUAUUAUUACACUAAUAUAACUUAAAUCCUUCUCUAUAACCUUUAUUAUUGACUGUUUGAUAUAUGUUUCGAUUUGAAAAGAUUUUAUGUUGGUGUAUGGUUGUUUAGUACUUUAGUAGUAAACUAAACAAUUCUUACGAAUGCGGGUAAGUGGAAAGAAGAAGAAAAAAUGACAAAACAAAAAUUCUUCACAACAAAAUAUAAAAGUUAAAUGGGCAAAAUACAAAAUUGUCCAAUAUAUAAUAGUUAAUACACUUAAAUAUAUGCAAAGGCGGAUCUAGGAUUUAAAGGUGGCGGGUGCCAAAAUUUCUUUUAAUGUGCAUCUUAUAAUAACUAAUAUAUCCUAUUCAUUUGUUUAGUUAUUAGGCAAUUUAGUACUUUAUUUGCAAAUAUAAAAAUUACAUUAAUUUUUCAGACCUAUACUUAUAAAAUUUUAUUGGGUAUAUAUUUUAUUAUUAUGGUAAGAAAAUUACAUCUCAGACACCAAGAAGCGAAUAUAAUUAGCAUUUUAAUGAAGAAUCAUACCUUUGUUAUUAAUAAUACAAGUAAAAUCAAUGUUUUCAAUAGGGAACUAUUAUUUUUUUGUAUGCUAAAGAUAGUUUUGCACAAGUAAAAUAAAAUCUUUAAUAAGGGAACUCCACCAAUCAGAAUAAGAAAAAUAAAAAAUAAACAUCUUCAACAGAUAAAUUAUACCCCAUAACCAAAUGCAGAAUUAGGUAAACUAGAUUUCAAAACUUAAAAUCAUAAAUCUAAUUCUUGCGAAAUAUUUGUCAUAAUUUAAUAGUAAAGAGAUUUAAAUUGUAUUUAACAAUUAUAGAAUAACACAAAUUUUUUUUGGGAUUUUACUGGGUUGUGGUUGAUUAAAAAAAGAAAAUAUAAGUUAAUUUUGAUCUCAAUCUAAAUAUCAAGACCCAUUUUUUUUUAUUUUAAAAGAAGAAAACCGAAAGGUUUGAGAUUAAGAGAAAUGCUAUAUAAAAAAUUUAAAUUUUGGAGGCUUUUUUUGAGUAUUCUUGCUAAAGAUCACAAAUAAAAUAACAUAAUAGAGAAGAAAAUAUAAAAAUGAUAAACGACAAAUAGGAAAUUGGGAGGUAGCCAAAAAGAAAAAUAAAUGGGUCAAAAGAAAUAAAACGUACAACGAAAAGGGAAAGUCAGACAAAAUUUAAGAUAAAUUCGAGCUUGAAUUUUACACACAAGAAAAACUUUCAAAAAGUUCUACUAGCCAUGACACCUUUGUCUAGCUUACCAGUGAGGGUGGCAAGAUCAUAUAUUAGACCUAGUUUUAUAAUGAUAAUUAUUCAUGAUAUCUUUAUUAUGGACCUUUAUAUAUAUAUAUAUAUAUANNNNNNNNNNNNNNNNNNNNNNNNNNNNNNNNAUAUAUAUUCAAUUAUAAUUGUGUUAUAAGUGAUUCUAUUAACAUUAUGAGUACAAUAAUGAUAAUUAUUCAUGAUAUCUUUAUUAUGGACCUUUAUAUGUGUUAAGCCUACAAACAUAAAGAUAGAAAUACCACAUAAUAAAAUACGAAAGUAAAAUUGAGUUCUAUACGAUGUUAUAUUUUGGUCAGGGGCUAAUUUAGGGAAGUGGAAAAAGGUUCACCCGAGUCCCGUUCGUCGAAAAAUUCUUUAUAUAUAAGACAAAAUUUAUUUUUUACCUCUCUAUAUUAUGUUUUGAACCCCCUUGAUACAGCCAGAGCUUAGUAGUCAAGGGGGUUCAAAACCUUUGUAGGGACAUUAGUUCAAUUCCAACUAGAUAUAAUGUUUUUAGCUUUUUUUCUUUUUAGAACCCCUUAGCGAACAUCAUGCGCUCGCCACUAAUUGUGGUCACAAAUGUUUUUGAACGUUCGUCUUUUGAUAAAACAUUACUACUCCACUAUACACGCAUCUUCUUUUGUGUUCGUCAAAUGGUCAUUUCUGGAUGUUGCUGUUAUUUGGGAGAGAGUUAUAAUGUCUUGGAGGCUAGAUUUCCGAUUUUUUUCCCUCUACUGAGUGUGCUCUGCCCUUUGUAUAUAUGACAAUUUUCAGAUGCUAGAGUUAUAAUUUCACAAGUGAUGUAAUAUCUCAUACUUCUAGGAUCUACUAAUAUUUAAGGCUAGAUUAUGUUAGUCGAGAUUCUGCUGCAACUUUUCUUCUAUUUUUUAUCUUCAACUUCAUUUACCACUAGGCCACACCCUUAGAUGCAUUACAUUUUAUCUGAAUUUUAGUUGGCCAUUCCAGCAACUUACGCAUUACAUGAAUUACUAUUGCCCGCAUGUUGGUUUAUGCAUGCUCAUCCUACAAAUGUAAUUACAUUUUGAUAAAAGGAAACUACAAAAUACAAAGUACAGAUAAAAAUGAAAAAGAGGGAACCACACAAGCCUAUUGUCUACUUACGAAACUUUUUUGUUUAUGAAAAGGUAGAUAUUUUAUUGAAUGGUCCCAAGAUGGUACUGAGAGAUUACACCAGAAAGCGGGGAGCAUACUUCUAUGAAACUUUAUUUGGUUUAUGAAAAGGUAGAUAUUUUAUUGAAUGGUACCAAGAUGAUACUGAGAGAUUAUACUAGAAAGUGGGGAGCAUACUUCUACAGAUUGAAGAGAAUGCAUACAGUGGGUUUAUGUCAGAGACAGUACUAUUCUUAUCAUUAAAGCACCUAUUGUUUCUCCCUAUCAAAGUGUUCCAGAAAGUACAAUUAGGAACAGCUUUCCAGAACUGUCUGUUGCCGAAACAAGCGCUUAUGCCAGCAGCAUAGAGUAAGUUUGAUAACUCCUGGCAUGAACCAUUAGAACCCAAAAAUACUAAGGAACACUAAUCAAAGCUGCCUUGUGAAGGUGCAAUGAAGUAGUAUGUGAGUGACAGAUUCAUUAGCCUCCUCACAAAGGAAAUACUGCUACACAUAGGUAGGCCUCUCUUCUGCAAGUUAUCUUGAGUUAAGCAAGCUUGACAAGUAGCAAUCCAAUUUAAUUGCAAUUGUCUUCCAGGUAAUCUUCCUUGGCCAACUAACUUGAGACUCAUCUAUUCUUUAGUAGACUUUUGUAGCAAGCAUUAACACUAAACUUGCCAUCUUUUCUUCAUCUUCCGCAUUAGAGUGUCAAGAGAAACCGGCUCCAACUUCUGGACAUUAAUACAAUCAAUCUCUCAAUCAUUCAUGUUUCUCCUCAAGGAGAAAAGCAGUCAGCUCCUCCAACUUCUGGACAUUAAUACAACCAAUCUCUCAAUCAUUCGUGUUUCUCCUCAGAUGCAGCCUGCAGGUUCCAUCCACAAGGAGAAAAGCAGUCAGCCGUAGUGCAGUCCUUGUUGGAACAGAUUGUGUAAAGGUCUGGAAUUGGUCUUUGAGAGGAAUAUCAUCUAGCGACUUGUCUAUCCACAUGUUUAUUCACUUUCCAUUGCUUAUUUUCAGCUUAAUAUUCUCAAAAAACUCAAUCCAAAGCCCCCUUAUGUACUUGUGAAACAUUGCAACUAACUCAUAACUAAAAAUUAACAUUCUACAGAAUGAGUAGUGUAGAAACACUUGGCUAAAAAAAAUUGCAACAUCGAUUCCAAAAGUACCAGAUUAUGAGUACUCCAAAUAGAACGGAAUAAAAUUGAGCUGAAAAUCUUUACUUUAUCAAAAAAAAAAGUUGAAAAUCUAUUAAGUAAUAUGCAUUAUUCACUUAUAUCAUGUUAGUAGGGGUUGUAGUAAAUGCAGCGGGAGCUAUUGUAUUAGGAGAACCUAUUGGUUUUUAGUAUGUAAUCAUUGUUGAAAAUCUGUUAAGUAAUAUGCAUUAUUCACUUAUAUCAUGUUAGUAGGGGAUGUAGUAAAUGCAGCGGGAGCUAUUUUAUUAGGAGCACCUGUUGGUUUUGAGUAUGUAAUCAUUUAGUGUUUCUAAUCUUUUAUAAUGACACUGAAGCCUGAAGCCUUAGUUGAGGUUGGAUGGAAAAAUCUAUCCUACAGCAUAGAAUAUGACAAUAUCCUUGCAUGAUCAUCAGGUAUGCUCUCUAUUUUUCACAAAAACGCCAAAGAUUGGCAAUUCAAACAUUCUAUUCAGUCACUAUAUAACAACAUAGAUAGGUCUUUCUUGUCGGAAGUAGUAAUAUCGGGAAAAGGAAACCGCUGAUCCGCGAUCCAUGCACAGCAAUCCGGUGAUACAUAAACCAAGUACUUCAAGACUAGCUGAAACUAAAAAGCAGAUCUCCCAAGGCAACACUCUCUAACAACCUUUAGGUAAGACAAAGGGGAAGGGUUAUUCAACUCCUUAAAGAAAAUAAAAAGAAAGGUCAUGCGGGAUGCAGCCUAGAGGUCAACGAAGUGGGUGAGAACCAUGAGGUCUCAGGUUCAAACCUCUUUAAAUUUGUCCAAGCCUUCUGGUACUUGUUGCUGGUGGGAGAUGACAAGUAUCCCAUGGGACUAGUCGAGGUGCGCGCAAGCUGGCCAGUACACCACAAUUAUCCCAUAAAAAGAAAGAAAUGCGCCAAAUAGAUGAAAUCAUACUACAUUUUAAAUUGUAUCAGCAACAAUUUCGAAUAUUAUACAAUAUAGACUUGAAUCAAUGCAAGUUACUUAAUGAUUAUGAAUAAAUGAACACAAGAAUUUCUAUCAUUGUGUUGAGUUGUAGCAUAUUGUUUUUUCAAGCAAAGACCGAAAUCACAGAGAAGGUGUCUGAAAAUGCUAGGAAUUCAAAGUGUCAGCAUGUUCAUCAACUAGUUUCUUUGGGAUCAAGCAGUUGAUGAGAGCCAUAUAAACUUGAGAGAAUUAAAUUCCUUAUUGAACUGUUUCCCCCUUGUUGGGUAACAACAACACCAUCAAAGUCAUUUCAAAGAUUCAGUAAAUGCAUGAUCGCAAUUUAUUUUCUAAACCUUCAUCAAGAAUAAAAGAGGGGAAAAGGAACGUGUACACACGAAUGUGAUUUUAACUGGGUGUCACCAUCAGUGUCCUUUUUUGUGCAUAUAUCAACAACAAAAAGUGCUGAAUUAUCUGGUAGAAGCAAAAAUGGGAGCAUUUUGAUGUUGUUCGAUGACAUUGUGCACCUCCGUUUGCAUGAUAUACCUAACUUACUCCACCUCGUCUAAAUCCUAGGCCAAAGUCAGAGCACCCUGCUAAACAACACAAGUUCUUUUUAGUGGCAUGCUUUUUAAGUCGGUUUCAUCUAAAACUCUUCACAUUCAUCAUACUUAUCCACAUCUUUCCACACUCCAAAACUGAAUUUCCUGGGAAGCGACAAACUUAUCUCAUUUAGAGCUUUAAGAUUUCAUUAAGCUCCAAAUAGGCACUUAGUUUGGGUAUCAUCCAUACACUGAUGUGCUUCACAGUUUAAAUUGGUAGAGGAGGCGGACAGAUUUGCUUAGCAACCUCAAAAUCUCCUUUGCGAAAUCUUGAUUACCAGUUAGCAAAAGCCCAUUUAGGACCCGGUUGAAGGUAAAUUUUUUAGGAAGAAGAGGCGGCCAGAUUUGCUUAGCAACCUCAAGAUCUCCUUUGCGAAAUCUUGAUUACCAGUUAGCAAAAGCCCAUUUAGGACUAGGUUGAAGGUAAAUUUUUGAGGAAGAAAUCCUCUGUCAACCAUUUCUGUCAAUAGUUUCCCAGCCACUAAUAAAUCAUCUGAUUUUUUCCUAACAAACAUUGCACUUAUCAAAAUAUUAUAUGUAUCCAGAUUAGGUAUACAACCCCCAGUACUCAUCCUCUCAAACACCCUCAGGCCCUUCUCAAUUUCCCCUUCAUCACAAUAGCAUCGGAUGACAACAUUAUAAGUCUGAACAUUUGGUUCACACCCAUCCUCUUUCAUCUUAUCCAUAUAUCCGCCGAUACUCAUCCUCUCAAACACCCUCAGGCCUUUCUCAAUUUUCCCUUCAUCACAAUAGCAUCGGAUGACAACAUUAUAAGUCUGAACAUUUGAUUCCCACCCAUCCUCUUUCAUCUUAUCCAUAUAUUCCGUAGCCCUGUCCAUUUUUCCAACAUGGCACAAUCCCCUGAUAAUGGCAUUAUAAGUUGUGGCAUUCGGCAAAUAACCUUUCCUCAACAUCUCAUCGAACACCAAAAUAGCAUUUUCCACACUAUAUUUCUUACACAAGACUUGUAUCAACGCAUUAUAUGUUGCAACGGAGGGAAGUAUGCCAGCUCCCAGACAAAAUAGCAUUUUCCACACUUUCUUACAAAAACUUGUAUCAGCGCAUUAUAAGUUGCAACGGAGGGAAGUAUGCCAGCUCCCACCAUUUCAUUGAACACCUUUUGCGCCUUCUCAACUUCACCCGCAACACCAAAUCCGUGAACCAUAGUAGUGUAAGUAACAACAUCAAUAUCACAUUUCCUCCUUUUCAUCUGCAAAAGGAAUUCCCGUUCGCUAGUGUGUUAUAACUAAUCGUAUCAGCUCUGAACCUGCUCCUAAACAUCUUGAACAAAUUAUAAGCCAUCUCGGCCCGUUUAGAUUUACAAAGCACGUCAAGGAAUGCAUUGAAAGAAUUCAAAUCCUGAGGGCAACCAUGUUUAUGCAUAGACAGGAAAACCUUCAACGCUUUAUCAGCUUUCCCAGCAGAUACAUACCUCUAAGUGAUGAUAGCGAAUGUUUUCGGGCUCGGGCUGAGUCGCCGAGAUCGCAUUCGGGCCACGAGCUUCCAAACGAUCUUGUAAUCGCGCAUACGAGCAGCGAUGUCAAUAGCAUGGUCAAAGGCUGUAGUAGAGUGAGCAUAGGAACGAUGGUGAUCGAGGAGGUUGAAAAAAUGGAGGGCUUUAGGGCCGUAAUUCCAGAGACGCUUUAGGACAGCGUGAACGAGGUCAGGAGUCCAUUGGGUGAGGUUGUGAAGGGUGUUUGAUAAUGAUUCUGGUUGGUUUGAAGUAUGAGGUUGGAGAUUGUGAUGGGGUCUGGUGGUGACUGUGACGGCGAUUGUGGUGGUGACGGUGGUGGAGGAGAGGUGAAAUGGCGGAGGGAGAUGGAAAUGGGAUUUAGAGGUGAUUUGAUGAUUGUAGAAUUGUGCAGAUUCAGCAUUUCACCGUUCUGCUGCUUAUUUCCCUAAAGAGUAAAAACUGCGUGCAAACAAGUGUUGACGAACCCUUCAACUCAUGUUGGCUAAUUUUCUUAUUUUAUUUUUUAGGCGGGUAAUCAAUUAGACUAACCUCUAAAAUAAAUUGAAUUAGAUUAAUUCAAUAUUUUUAAAUUAAAAUUUAGAUACACAAAACUAUAUGAAAAAUCUCACAAUAUAAAUAUAAUGAUAAAUAUAUUUUAAAAUGUAGGUCCAAAUCCACAUAAUUUGACUUCGAAGAAGCAAAACAUGACAAUUAAUUUGGGACUGAGGGAAUAAAAGGAUUGCUUGGUUUGGAAAAUUGUGAGAUUAUAAUCACAGAUAUGAGGUAAACAUAUCAUUAUUUCAGUAUAAAAUUAAUCUAAGUAUUAGUUAAUAUUAAUAACCAAACACAAGAUAAAUGUAAUUUAAUAUUUUAUAUCAAAAUUAGUAUUCAUAGUGUUGAUAACCAAACGACUCCUAAUAGUAGCACGUAACCAAGUACGGUCGAAGCACCCUAGUCCAGCAUAUUUCUUUGACCACAUGCUAUAGUCUUGCAUUAAAAUAUUUUCUUGAAAAAUAACUUCAGUUAUAAAAUAUGUCUUUACAACUUCUACCCUAUGAGACGUAUCAACUUUAAGGUAGUUUGAUACAAAACUUGUUAACUAUAAUACGUGGUGUAUCUGAAAUUAGAGCGUUUAAUGCAAUUAACCGUACUAUAUUUUAUACCUAUAAAUAGAUACUUGAGCAUAAAUGAAGUUAUUACUCCCUUUAUGAUUUGUGUCUCUUCAUCUAUUUACCCAGCUUCCAUUUUAAACGAGUCAUUGGCAAAACAUGAACAUUCGCAUGGCACUUCAAAUUUUAGCAAUUAUAUCCAGGCCGAGAUUGCUAGCUCAGCACAGCCUCAGAGAAUUUGAAGUAGAAGUUAUAUUUAAAGAACUUCUUAGAAAUGGACCCUUACAGGAUUGAAGCAUAUGAGGUGAUGGGGAUACCAUUUUUUUGCACUUCAUUAUUUUAAAAAGUCAGUGUUGUUGCAGCCAAAGGAUUCUCGAGUGUGGAUGGCCCGAUGUUAAGAGAACAGCUGCAUAUGCUUGAGGAGGCAUAUCAAUACUGGAAGGAUUUCGAAAGGAUGGAUGCUGAAGAACGGAAAGGUCUAAAUCUGGUUGAAGCUUUAAUGUUUCUUGCCAGAUAUUAUAAAGCUCAAAAGAGAGUUGAAGAUGCAGAGUUUUAUUGCACCCACUUUCUUCAUUAUUCUGGCCCAGUAAGUUUUACCUCUCAUUAAGUAACUAACUAAAGAGUCUAUUUCUCUCUACUUUCUUCAUUAUUCUGGCCCAGUAAGUCUUACCUCUCAUUAAAUAACUAACUAAAGAGUCUAUUUCUCUCUAUGAUAAGUUAAAAUAUGUUCUGCUAAACCGCUAAUCAUUCUGGAAAACAACACUUUGAACAGCUUCCUCACUGUUUUUGGUCAUUAACGCAGAAGAAGGAAACAACAAAGUGCUUGAAGGAAUAAGAUUUGAAAUGGAUGUUGAGCAUUCGGAGUGGCGGGUAGAAAUGAUUCAAGGGCAAAAGAAUGCAGAUAUAGUAAUCAUAUCUUUGUUCAGAAAAGUUGGCCUAGUGGUCCAUUAUUUGUGAGAUUAUUUCAUGGACUGCCACUUUGGCUGAAUUUUGUAAAAUCAUUAAUAUGUUUUUCUUCAUCUAAUCAACACAAAGAGUAGCACCUUGAGUAUCAUUCGGAAAACCCAUUCGAAUAUAGGACAUAUACAUCUUAAUACAAACUUGUCACAACCAUAUUUUACAGACACACCAUACUGCAAUACAUCCAGCACAACAGAUUAGAGUCGAUCAGAUCACAUUACAAAUCUUGAUUCAAGAUGAUAAGGGUGAACUCUGAUAACUUUAUUCGAACUCAGUUGCAGGAUAUUAAUUCUUUUGUGGAUCACUGAAGAACCUAUUAAGGGAAGGGAAAAUUUCUGGUGGUCUACUACGAGCAAACUUUCUAACGGCAUGUUCAGCAUUUUUUUGUCCCUCUUCAAAGUUCUCCAGAACACCGGCAGCUCUUUUCUCCUUGCUUACCCUGUCCCGUGAUAUUAUUAAACAAGAAAAAUGUUAAGUUCUUGUCCAGUGUAAAAAAUAGUAGACAUAUAAAUGUUGCUGCAAAUAUUCAAUUCAUUGUUGAAACAAGUCUGUUAUCACCACUACUAGGCAUGGAAUUUAUGAUACUAGUUUGACUUGUUUAUCAAAGUUGAUUUCAAAUUUUGAAGGGAGUAUUAUUAACCCUUUUCUUGUCUUUAAUUAGCUUGUGUUUUUUUAUCAUAGCUUUUUACAAUGGGGAAAGGGGAAUUGCUCCUACAUAUAUAGUCUUAGUAUAAUAGAAUUAUUCCUACAUAGUCUUAGUAUAAUUCAACAGAUCAUAUAACUUGAAUAGCAAAAACUAGAUGUGAUGUCAACGGUGCACUCAAACAUUAUGGUUAUCAAAAAAUAAAAAUAAAAAAUUGAUGAAAUAAUGAUGGAUAACAAAGAUUUGGACAAUUCACAACAUUCUUGUUCUUAUUUUGAUUGAAGAAAAGUAGAAGAUCUACUAAGUAAGCCCAUAUUGACCAUGAAUGUAGCCAACUCAGCUUUAGCCUUUAGCAGGCAGGGGAAAGAAGAGAAUCCAAGGUAUCCGAGGGUAACAAGUAAGGGGGGAAAACCUGUAUUUGAAAGGAAUUGACCAAAAGAGAAGCAUAUGUUCGUAUUUCCAUCUGAGGAAUUGACCAAAACUACUGUAGAAAUACACUAAAUUAUACUGCGAAAUAGAGUAAUAACAAAAAAGAAAAAAAAGCAAGUAUUUGAGGAGAGAAACAAGGCGAACCUGACUUCAGGAUUGAUACCCAUAUUACGAACUAGCUGAAGUCCACAGAUUCCAAUGGCAACACCUAUGGCUGCAAACAGUGGAUAUACCUGUACUCACACAUCAAGCUUAGAAAUUUCGGAAAUUUUGAACAAGUAUACAAAAAAGUGAAGGAUAAAAGAUACCUCAGGCCUGAGCCAGCGAUUAGUAGCCAUGGAAAGAAGCAGUUUGAUUACAACAAGGGACAAAGGAUGAUUCACAGAGAGAGACAAGGAUAGAGAUGAGGAUUGAGGAGUACUAGUACAAUAAUGGAGAGCAAUAAACAAGUUUUAUUAUGAUAAAUAUCAUAUUAUGUUGGAUGUCAACUCAUCUUCCAUGAUCUUCAUCUCAAAUACUUAAUGACAUAUUCAAUGACAUAUUUUGUAUGUUCAAUGAAAUAUUCCAUGACAUAUUUUCUUCACUUUACAAAAAUAAUCGGAUUACAAAAAUUAUACGGAAUUCAGAAUUUACCUAGAGAAAAUUUAAAACGGGCUUCUUUUACUUGUAAACAAUUCGCGACGAGGGUGAUCAAACUAGUUUACUUUAGCAGUGUUUAACAGCAAGUUUACUCGCGUUAAAAAUAUAAUCAAAAAAUAUCAACAGUCCCUGAUAUGAAUUAGCUCGGAGUUCAGUCAACCAUCUAAAUUUGUGAAACAAAAUAAAAACUUUAGAGAGUAAUUAUAAGAUCCUGCACUACAGACAAAAACCAGUAAGAAUAUGACAAGAAAGACAUCUGUUGCAAUCAAAACAACAAAUAAUGUUUUUGUACAGUGAAACCAACAAGAUACGCUGCAAGAGUAAUAUGGAGAGUAAUUUGCUGUAUAGCUAGUUAUCCAACAAAAAUUGUGAACGAUGAAUUAGUUAGAAUUUUUUGAUAAGCAUGAAUGAUGACAAAGAAUUACUGCCAGAAAACAGAUAUUAAACAUUAAACCUACAACAAUACAUAGCAGGAAAUCAUGUCAAAAUUAUAUUAAGUGAUACUCCAUAUAUAUUUAUGUGACUACAAGGAAAUUCUUCUGGCAAUAGCUAGCUAGCUAAUUUCUUUUACGAAGUGAUUAGUUCCAAUGAGAAACUGUAACCUAGCUAAAAGCUACUCCUAUUUUUACUGUAAAUUUCAUCUGGUACUUCAUUCAACAAAGUUAUAUAUAAAUUGAUUGCUGCAUGUCUCUCCUCCUGUCGGCCAUCGAUAUAUCUGCUUCCCCUUCAUUACUCAUGCUUACCAGAUUAUAUCUCCAAACUCGUCUAUUCCUAUGAGCAUAUCAUCUGCCCAAUUGACCUCCUCCUGUUGGUAGUUGGAGUAGUCAUUAAUAAUAUUGCUGUAAUUAUUGUAUUCGUUCAUCUUCUGUGUCUCGUGCAUAACUUGAUGUUGAUCAGCUGCUUGACAUAUUGUUGCUGUUUGUACUGUUGUGCAGUAAUCUUCAUUAGUUUCAUGCAACAUAGCUUCGAUUGUUUUUGGAACAUCUUGUUUCUCCAUAUUUACCCCAUGAAUUUUCUUUGAUCUUAUAUUCUUCUUGAUUAAAGAACCUUCUCUUCGGGAUGAUCAGAAUUAGCUUCAAAUAUCUCCCAUGGUGGUUGGUCUCCAUAGAUAUCGGCAAGUUGGAAAUUAUGGCAUUCACUCGAGCAAAAGCUUGCCCUUUAGGAACCUUUUCAGAAAGUUGAUCAACUCUGCUUCAGUAGGGUGAAACCGAACACCCAUGAUACACCCACGGCAUGCAGCCGGCACCAUCGACAUGGUAUAUAUGGUCGUCUCUUUUUCUUGCUUAUAGAGAAACACAAGAACGAGACAAUAGUAGUUGCCGCAAUAUGCAAAGACAAGAACUAGGAAACAAAACCAUAAACGAAUGGCGGAAGUUAAUUGAUGUGAAUGCUGUAAUAUAAUUGACUAUUUAUAGAUAUCUGAUCAGGUUAAUUCCAACAACGAAAAUUUAGGAAACAAAUUUAUAGGAGAGAAAAGAAGAGUUGAUUUCUGCGGAAGGUUAACGCUUGGGGCUCAAGUUAGUUUUUUCGUAAUAUACAAUGCGUAAAUUUUUAAAAUGCAUGUAUGAUUUAAUCUAUUUGGCGCAUUUCUUUCUUUUUAUGUGAUAAUUGUGGUUAGGAGAAAAGAAGUGGUGAUUUCUGCGGAAGGUUAACGCUUGGGACUCAAGUUAGUUUUUUCGUAAUAUACAAUGCGUAACUUUUUAAAAUGCAUGUAUGAUUUCAUCUAUUUGGCGCCUUUCUUUCUUUUUAUGUGAUAAUUGUGGUGUACUGGCCAGCUUGCGCGCACCUCGACUAGUCCCAUGGGAUACCUGUCACCUCCCACCAGCAACAAGUACCAGAAGGCUUGGACAAAUUUAAAGAGGUUUGAACCUCAGACCUCAUGGUUCUCACCCACUUCGUUGACCUCUAGGCUGCAUCCCGCAUGACCUUUCUUUUUAUUUUCUUUAAGGAGUUGAAUAACCCUUCCCCUUUGUGAGACCUCAUGGUUCUCACUCACUUCGUUGACCUCUAGGCUGCAUCCCGCAUGACCAUUCUUUUUAUUUUCUUUAAGGAGUUGAAUAACCCUUCCCCUUUGUCUUACCUAAAGGUGUUGGAGAGCGUUGCCUUGGGAGAUCUGCUUUUUAGUUUCAGCCAGUCUUGAAGUACUUGGUUUAUGCAUCACCGGAUUGCUGAGCAUGGAUCGCGGAUCAACGGUUUCCUUUUUCCGAUAUUACUACUUCCGACAAGAAAGACCUAUCUAUGCUGUUAUAUAGUGACUGAAUAGAAUGUUUGAAUUGCCAAUCUUUGGCGUUUUUGUGAAAAAUAGAGAGCAUACCUGAUAAUCAUGCAGGGAUAUUGUCAUAAUCUAUGCUGUAGAUAGAUUUUUCCAUCCAACCUCAACUAAGGCUUCAGGCUUCAGUGUCAUUAUAAAAGAUUAGAAACACUAAAUGAUUACAUACUAAAAACCAAUAGGUUCUCCUAAUACAAUAGCUCCCGCUGCAUUUACUACAACCCCUACUAACAUGAUAUAAGUGAAUAAUGCAUAUUACUUAAUAGACAAUAGCUCCCGCUGCAUUUACUACAGCCCCUACUAACAUGAUAUAAGUGAAUAAUGCAUAUUACUUAAUAGAUUUUCAACUCUUUCUUUUUUUUUGAUAAAGUAAAGAUUUUCAGCUCAAUUUUAUUCCGUUCUAUUUGGAGUACUCAUAAUCUGGUACUUUUGGAACCGAUGUUGCAAUUUUUUUAGCCAAGUGUUUCUACACUACUCAUUUUGUAGAAUGUUAAUUUUUAGUUAUGAGUUAGUUGCAAUGUUUCACAAGUACAUAAGGGGCUUUUGGAUGAGUUUUCUGUAGCCAAGUGUUUCUACACUACUCAUUCUGUAGAAUGUUAAUUUUUAGUUAUGAGUUAGUUGCAAUGUUUCACAAUUACAUAAGGGGGCUUUGGGAUGAUUUUUCUGAGAAUAUUAAGCUGAAAAUCAGCAAUGGAAAGUGAAUAAAAAUGUGGAUAGACAAGUCGCUAGAUGAUAUUCCUCUCAAAGACCAAUUCCAAACCUUUACACAAUCAGUUCCAAUAAGGACUGCACUACGGCUGACUGCUUUUCUCCUUGUGGAUGGAACCUGCAGGCUACAUCUGAGGAGAAACAUGAAUGAUUGAGAGAUUGGUUGUAUUAAUGUCCAGAAGUUGGAGUCGGUUUCUCUUGACACUCUAAUGUGGAAGAUGAAGAAAAGAUGGAAAGUUUAGUUGUAUUAAUGUCCAGAAGUUGGACGAUGUUUCUCUUGACACUUUAAUGUGGAAGAUAAGAAAAGAUGGCAAGUUUACUGUUAAUGCUUGCUACAAAAGUCUACUAAAGAAUAGAGGAGGAGUCUCAAGUUAGUUGGCCAAGGAAGAUUACCUGGAAGACAAUUGCAAUUAAAUUGGAUUGCCACUUGUCAAGCUUACUUAACUCAAGAUAACUUGCAGAAGAGAGGCCUACCUAUGUAUAGCAGAUAUUUCCUUUGUGAGGAGGCUAAUGAAUUUGUCACUCACAUACUGCUUCAUUGCACCUUCACAAGGCAGAUUUGAUUAGUGUUCCUUAGUAUUUUUGGGUUCUAAUGGAUCAUGCCAGGAGUUAUCAAACUUACUCUAUGCUGCUGGCAUAAGCGCUUGUUUCGGCAACAGACAGUUCUGGAAAGCUGUUCCUAAUUGUACUUUCUGGAACACUUUGAUAGGGAGAAACAAUAGGUGCUUUAAUGAUAAGAGGGACAACAUUUCAUUUGUAAAUUUGUGGACUAAGAACAGUAUUGUCUGACAUAAACCCACUGUCUGCAUUCUCUAUAAGAGGGACAAUAUUUCAUUUGUAAAUUUGUGGACUAAGAACAGUAUUGUCUGACAUAAACCCACUGUCUGCAUUCUCUUCAAUCUGUAGAAGUAUGCUUCCCGCUUUCUGGUGUAAUCUCUCAGUACCAUCUUGGUACAUUCAAUAAAAUAUCUACCUUUUCAUAAACAAAAAAGUUUCGGAAGUAGAAAAUAGGCUUGUGUGGUUCCCUCUUUUCCAUUUUUAUCUGUACUUUGUAUUUUAUAGUUUCACAACAACAACCUAGUAAUCACACUUAGUGGGGUCUAGGGAGGGUAGUUUGUACGCAGACCUUACCCCUACCCUUGGGUAGAGAGGCUGUUUCUAAAUAGACCCCCGGCAUCCUUCCCUCCAAGAACUUCCCACCUUGCUCUUGGGAAGACUCGAACUCACAACCUCUCAGCUGGAAGUGGGGGUUGCUUACCAUCAGAGCAACCCCUCUUGUCUUGAUACUCACGGACCUGAGUGCAUUAAUAUGUUGUGUAUCAUAUUAUACAUCAGUUGACAGAUUUAGUGGUAAAGACUCAACAGCGAAAUUAACAUCACCAAAUAUUGGAUGAAAUCAACCAUCAUUUCUCGGUAAUAACAGCUCAUCCAUUGACACCAUUAUGAUGUAUAUCUCAGUAUAAUCACAGAGACGGAUUGCAGGAAAAAAAAUGAAAAAACAAGAACUAAAGAACUGUAGUCUAAUUUCACCUUUUGCAUAAGUUGCGACUAUGUCUGAACAUAGAAGAUUGUUUUUUGUGGCGCAAAAGAAAAGCAGACAAAUCCUCCAUUGAGUUGCACCCAUUCAAUAUGACUAACCAAUCCUUGAUGUACACAAAAAAAUUUAUGCACUGUUGGCAAAAUGUAAUUACAUUUGUAGGAUGAGCAUGCAUAAACCAACACUGUUGGCAAUAAUGAUUCAUGUAAUGCGCAAGCUGUUGGAAUUGCCAACUAAAACUCAGAUUAAAAGAUAAAACGUAAUGUACCCAAGGGUGUGACCUAGUGGUCAAUGCGCAAGUAUCUAAUGCGCAAGUUGUUGGAAUUGCCAACUAAAACUCAUAUUAAAUGAUAAUGUACCCAAGGGUGUGGCCUAGUGGCCAAUGCGCAAGUAUCCUGUGGAAUUAGGCGAGGUGCGCGCAAGCUGCCCGAGCACCACGGUUAUAAAAAGAAAAAGAAGAUAAAUGUAAUAAUCCAAACAAAAAUAGCAGAAAAUUUGCAGCAGAACCAUGACUGACAUAAUCUAUCAUUAAUUAGGAAAUGCGUUAAGUAAUAAAUAUUACUAGAUCCUAAAAGUAUGAGAUAUAACACCAUUUGUGAAAUAAUAACUCUAGCGUUUCAAUAAGCUAAGUGAAAAUUCUCACGUAUGCAAAGUGGGAUUAUACUGCGUUGUUAUUUUAUAGUCAAAGUGCUAUUCAAUUAGCGAAGAACCAAGUUUAUCAUGCAAAAACGAAGCACAUUGAUGUUCGGUAUCAUUAGUGGUGACUGCGAUCAAGUUUCAACAUUGUUGAACACUGAAGAUUGAAGAUGAAACACAACCAAAAUUUGUUACCGAGAGAAAAUUGAAGAUGUGGUAUUUCGCCAAGGUGGAGAUUUGUUGAAUAUGUCUUCAUCCCACAUCGGUGGGAGAUUCAUUUGGGGGAGAGUUUCUCCCUAUAAAAGGAGGCCUAAUGUUUAGGAUUUAAAUGCACCUCUCAUUUUCCUUCUCAUCUGUUUAAGGCAUUUGUAUCUUCUCUCUUUAGUAUUAUUUUACUUGUAUUUUAGAGUGAAAUAAAACGUUGGUUGUGUCCGAGGAAUAGGCAAAAUUGGCCGAACCUCGUAAAUUCUGGUGUUCCUUUUAUUGUUGCUUUAUUGUCUUAUUUAUUAUUUGGUGGUUACCAUAUUUUUUGGAAUAGUAGUUGUGACUCAUUCACACUAUAUACAUUUGGCUUCCGCAACAGUUUAUGCAAUGGACCAGGUAAAUCACAUGCUUAUCUAUGUGGUGAAUGCAGUUUUACUAAAGCAGUAUGGGAAAGGCUUAUGCAAUGGCUAUGAAUUCAUGUGGAUCCCAAGCAGUACUCUUUUACACAGAUGAUGGCAUGGGUAGUAAAACAAGCUAAGGGAAAAUCAUGUGCAGCUAGAGUAAUGAAAAUGGUAUAUGCAGAACAAAUCUAUGGGACAUAGAAGGAGAGAAACAAUAGAAUAUUUGAAGAGACAAACAUGACUGCAGAUCAAGUAGCAAGAGAAGUGGCAUGUGUUUGCAAUAUUAGAGCUCAAGGAGGAAUGAGGGCAAAACUGCAUCAGCUUAUGUUCUGAAAACAAUGUAGAAACUAACCAGUCAUUUGUAUAGUAUUCUUAUAUGUACUGCUCAUAGCGUAGGAUAGACCUAGACUAUAUGUAAAGAUUAAGUGAGUCGAGGACUCUACUGAUUUGUAAUGACCUCUUUAGUGAUUAAUGGAAAAUAUAAUUACAAAAAAAAAACUAGCUAUAAUCCUUUUUAAUUUUUUUUUCUUUUUUGAACCCCUUAGGGAAAAUCUUGCAUCCGCUUGUGGUCACAAAUGUUGUUAAACGUUCGCUUUGAUAAAACAUUAUUACUCCACUAUGCACGCAUCUUCUUUUGUGUUAGUCAAAAAUGGUCAUCACUUGAUGUUGAUGCUAUUAGGAGAGUUUUAUAAUGUCUUCGAAGGCUAGAUUCCGAUUUUUUUUCCCUCUCCUGGGUAUGCUCUGCCCUUUGCAUACGUGAGAAUUUUCACUUAGCUUAUUGAAACGCUAGAGUUAUUAUUUCACAAAUGGUGUUAUAUCUCAUACUUUUAGGAUCUAGUAAUAUUUAUUACUUAACGCAUUUACUAAGUAAUGCUAGAUUAUGUUAGUCAUGGUUCUGCUGCAACUUUUCUGCUAUUUUUGUUUGGAUUAUUACAUUUAUCUUCUUUUUCUUUUUAUAACCGUGGUGCUCGGGCAGCUUGCGCGCACCUCGCCUAAUUCCACAGGAUACUUGCGCAUUGGCCACUAGGCCACUCCCUUGGGUACAUUACGUUUUAUCAUUUAAUCCGAGUUUUAGUUGGCAAUUCCAGCAACUUGCGCAUUACAUGAAUUAUUAUUGCCCGCAGUGUUGGUUUAUGCAUGCUCAUCCUACAAAUGUAAUUACAUUUUGAUAAAAGGAAACUACAAAAUACAAAGUACAGAUAAAAAUGAAAAAGAGGGAACCACACAAGCCUAUUGUCUACUUACGAAACUUUUUUGUUUAUGAAAAGGUAGAUAUUUUAUUGAAUGGUCCCAAGAUGGUACUGAGAGAUUACACCAGAAAGCGGGGAGCAUACUUCUACAGAUUGAAGAGAAUGUAGACAGUGGGUUUAUGUCAGAGACAAUACUGUUCUUAGUCCACAAAUUUACAAAUGAAAUGUUGUCCCUCUUACCAUUAAAGCACCUAUUGUUUCUCCCUAACAAAUAUUGCAUGCUAUUUUAUUUAUGAUUCUUAUUCUUAUGUUUAGAUAAUUAUGUACGCUUUUUCGGCUGAAGUUACUAAUGUUCUUUUGUUUUUGUGUUUGUUUUUGUUUUUGUUUUUGUUUUUGUUUUUGUUAUUGUUUUUGUUUUUCCUUCAAUGAGCCGAGGGUCGAUUGGAAACAGCCUCUCUGCCCUUUCGGAAUGUCCUUUUGUUUUUGUUAUUCCUUUUCUCUCCUGAGCCAAGGGUCGAUUGGAAACAGUCUCUCUGCCCUUUCGGACAGGGGUAAGGCCUGUCUACAUAUUACCCUCCCCAGACCCCACUUCGUGGGACUAUACUGGGUAGUUGUUGUUGUUGUUGAAAAGGUAGAUAUUUUAUUGAAUGGUACCAAGAUGGUACUGAGAGAUUACACCAGAAAGUGGGGAGCAUCCUUCUACAGAUUGAAGAGUCUGUAGAAGAGAAUGCAGACAGUGAGUUUAUGUCAGAGACAGUACUGUUCUUAGUCCACAGAUUUACAAAUGAAAUGGUGUCCCUCUUAUCAUUAAAGCACCUAUUGUUUCUCCCUAACCAAGUGCUCCAGAAAGUACAAUUAGGAACAGCGUUCCAGAUCUGUCUAUUGCUCAAACAACUGCUUAUACCAGCAGCAUAGAGUAAGUUUGAUACUUCCUGGUAUAACCCAUUGGACCGCAAAAAUACUAAGAAAAUCUGCUUUGUGAAGGUGCAAUGAAGCAGUAUGUGAGUGACGGAUUCAUUAGCCUCGUCACAAAGGAAACAUCUGCUACACAUAGGUAAGCCUCUCUUCUAGAAGUUAUCUUGAGUUAACGCAAUGAAGCAGUAUGUGAGUGACAGAUUCAUUAGCCUCGUCACAAAGGAAACAUUGCUACACAUAGGUAGGCCUCUCUUCUGCAAGUUAUCUUGAGUUAAGCAAGCUUGACAAGUAGCAAUCCAAUUUAAUUGCAAUUGUCUUCCAGGUAAUCUUCCUUGGCCAACUAACUUGAGACUCAUCUAUUCUUUAGUAGACUUUUGUAGCAAGCAUUAACACUAAACUUGCCAUCUUUUCUUCAUCUUCCGCAUUAGAGUGUCAAGAGAAACCGGCUCCAACUUCUGGACAUUAAUACAAUCAAUCUCUCAAUCAUUCAUGUUUCUCCUCAAGGAGAAAAGCAGUCAGCCGUAGUGCAGUCUUUGUGUAAAAGUCUGGGAAUUGGUCUUUGAGAGGAAUAUCAUCUAGCGACCUGUCUAUUCACAUUUUUAUUCACUUUCCAUUGCUGAUUUUCAGCUUGAUAAUCUCAAAAAACUCAUCUCAAAGCCCCUUAUGUACUUGGGAAACAUUGCAACUAACUCAUAACUGAAAAUUUACAUUCCACAAAAUUGAGUAGGGUAGAAACACUUGGCUAAAAGAAAAUUACAACAUAAGUUCAAAAGUACCAGAUUAAGAAUACUCCAAGUAGAACGGAAUAAAAUUGAGCUGAAAAUCUUUACUUUAUCAAAAAGGGGGGGGGGGGGGGAAAUCUAUUAAGUAAUAUGCACUAUGCACUUAUAUCAUGUUAGUAGGGGCUGUAGUAAAUGCAGUGGGAGCUAUUAAGUAAUAUGCAUUAUUCACUUUUAUCAUGUUAGUAGGGGUUGUAGUAAAUGCAGUGGGAACUAUUGUAUUAGGAGCACCGGUAGGUUUUGAGUAUGUAAUCAUUUAGGGUGUGAUUGGUAUAACGCAAAAUAUUUUCCGUGAAAAAUACUUUCCAAGAAAAUAUUUUCUUCGAAAACAAGUAGUAAUCUUAUUUAUUUUCCGGUGUUUAAAAUAUUUUCCGUGAAAAAUGCUUUCCAAGAAAAUAUUUUCUUGAAAAACAAGUAGUAAUCUUAUUCAUUUUCCGGUAUUCGGUAUGCAAAUUAAGGAAAAUAACUUCUCAAGAGUAUUCAUAAAUAAUUUAGAUACAAUAAUCAUGAAACCUUAAACAAUUGAACCAACAACCUUCCGAACCCACAAAUUUCAUAAACUUCCGAACUGCUAAACUUCGAAACAGCGAACUUGACCGGAAAAAAAAACAGAAAUUUGAAAGAGAAAAAAAGCCUUUUUUGGAGAGAGGGGGUGGGGCAGGUAGGCAUUGGGGUGGGUGGGUGUAGCAUGGGUUGAUGAGGGUGGAAAAGGUUGAGAAGGAGUUUGGGAAAAUGUUUUUCUCUAGAUAAGGAAAACCUUUUCCUCCAAUUGGAGGAAAAUGAGUUCAUAAGGAAAAACAUUUUCCUCCUUCCAUGAUCAUCAGGUAUGCUCUCUAUUUUUCACAAAAUCGCCAAAGAUUGGCAAUUCACACAUUCUAUUCAGUCCAUAGAUGGGUUUUUCUUGUCGGUAGUAGUAAUAGCGGGAAAAGGAAACCGCUGAUCCGGGAUCCAUGCACAGCAAUCUAGUGAUGCAUAAACCAAGUACUUCAAGACUGACUGAAACUAAAAUGCAGAUCUCGCAAGGCAACACUCUCCAACAACCUUUAGGUAAGACAAAAGGAAAGGCUUAUUCAACUUCUUAAAGAAAAAUAAAGAAAAAGAUCAUGCUUACACCCAGGGAUGCGGCCUAGAGGCCAAUGAAAUGGGAGGGAAAGGCUUAUUCAACUCCUUAAAGAAAAAUAAAGAAAAAGAUCAUGCCAACACCCAGGGAUGCGGCGUAGAGGCCAACGAAAUGGGAUCUCAGGUUUAAAUCCCAACGGAGACAAAAACACUAGGUGAUUUUUGUAAAUUUGUCCAAGCCUUAUGAUACCUAUUGUUGGUGGGAGGUGACAAGUAUCCUGUGGGACUAGUCGAGGUGCGCACAAGCUGGCCAGGACACCACAAUUAUCACAUAAAAAGAAUGAAAGGCGCCAAAUAGAUGAAAUCAUACAUGCAUUUUAAAUUGUAUCAGCAACAAUUUCGAAUAUUAUACAGUAUAGACUUGAAUCAAUGCAAGUUAGUUAAUGAUCACGAAAAGUUGAACACAAGAAUUUCUAUCUUUGUGUUGAGUUAUAGCUUAUUGUUGUUUCAAGCAAAGACCAAAAUCACAGAGAAGGUGUCUGAAAAUGCUAGGAAUUCAAAGUGUCAGCAUGUUCAUCAACUAGUGUCUUUGGGAUCAAGCAGUUGAAGCGAGCACAUAUAAACUUGAGAGAAUUAAAUUGCUUAUUGAACUGUUUCCCCUUUUUUGGGUAACAACAACACCACCAAAGUCAUCAAAGAGAGCACAUAUAAACUUGAGAGAAUUAAAUUGCUUAUUGAACUGUUUCCCCUUUUUGGGUAACAACAACACCACCAAAGUCAUUCAUCAACUUAGCAAUUACGAAUCAACAACAACAACAACUACCCAGUAUACUCCCACCAGGUGGGGUCUGGGGAGGGUAAUAUGUAGACGAGCCUUACCCCUACCCGAAAGGGCAGAGAGGUUGUUUCCAAUCGACCCUCGGCUCAUAGGAAAAGUUACAAAUGCCAUUUCUAAUAAAUGAGCAGAAUAUUAUUUAGAAGAUGUAUUGAGACCAAAUUCUAAACACUCAUCAGACAAGACAAGAAACGGAGGAUGAAGAACUCCUACAACAACUACUACUGAUCAGAAUAUUGUUUAGGAUUCUAAACACUCAUAAGAAAAUUGUUUAGAAAGACGUUUGGAUAUUCACUUUUCCUAGGAAAGUUCUACUAUUCUAAGACAUAAUGUGACCAAAUAACAUCAUAAAAUUGGACAAAAUAUGUAAUUGGAAAUGGGUAACUUAUGUUCCUAUGUCGUAAUUAUAAAGAAAAGACCUCAAAUAUUUACAACUUGCACAAAAUGCUUAUAGCUUUUUGCUCUUUGCACUAAGUUAUUAAUUACAACUAUGAGAGUAUGAUUGACGAACUACCUAUAAGUCGAUAAAAGCUUUACUUCCGAAAGUUUAUAGAUGGAUUUUAAGGAUUAGAUAGCAACAUUUUACCAAGCAAGAAAAUUUACAAAGGCAAGCAAUUUGUUUGAGAAGAGUAACCCCAAUGUCUAAUAGACGUGAAGGCGAACACUUACCCAUUAGACUAAAGCAUAGACAUGAAUAUAUCACACAAAUUUUAAGUGAAACCAACACUAGAAUAAUCGAACAGAACUAAAAGAAUAUGUUUAUAAAAAAUAUUACCAAAUAAAGAAAAAGGAGCAGCGAAACGAUUUUUCUGAUUAACCAAGAAAGCAAACAAUGAAUAUCGAAUAUCCAACAUCGAUAGCAAACAUCGAACAAAAAUCUCAUGGUUUCAAACGAAAAAUCAAAACUUGACAAAUAAAUGCCCCAAUUUUGCAAACUAGAAAUCACAGCGAAUAUCGAACAUUGACUGCAAAAAUGAAACACAUAAAAUAUUACCAGAAAGAUUAGGGCAGCAAAAUGAUUUUCCUAGAUAUUACCAGAGAAAGAAAAAAGGAGAAAAUGGAGAAAGAAAAAGGAGCAGCGAAAGAUAAAAUUAACCGAGAAAGAAAAAGCCCCCGAAAUAAUACCAGAGAAAGAAAAAAGGAGCAACGAAACUAUUUUCUAAAUAGCCAAGAAAGAGAAUAUCGAUAGCAAACAUGGAACAAAGAAAAUCUCAUAGUUGCAAACAGAAAAUCAAAACCUAACAAAUAAAUCCCUCAACUUUGCAAACUAUAAAUCACAAAUGUAUCAUGUAAUAUAAAUAAAGCAGAAGCAAAAUAAUGUGUUUACAAGAACUAAUACCAGAUAAAGAAAACAUAAGUGGAAAAAGAAAGAGAAAAUCGAAUAGUUAUACAAACAUCAAACAUGGGAAUAAUUGAUAACCUACCUCGAAGAUAACUCGUAUGUUAGCCGAAACUAGUUUUCAUUCACCGGCAGUAGUCAUCCUUCGCCGGAGCUGGCCGAUAGAGUUCGUCAAUGGUGAGGUCGACGCGUUCUAGGUUGAGGAUGGGAGAGAGCUUAGCAAUUACGAAUCAUAUUCUUAAAUUUUGAACUGCAAAGAUUCAGUAAAUGUAUGACCGCAAUUUAUUUUCUAAACUUUCAUUAAGAAUAAAAGAGGGAAAAAGGAACCUGUAUACACGAAUGUGGUUUUAACUGGAUGUCACCAUCAGUGUCAUUUUUUGUGUAUAUAUCAACAACAAGAAGUGCUGAAUUAUCCGGCAGAAGCAAAAAUGGGAGCAUUUUGAUAUCGUCCAAUGACAUUGUGCACCUCCGUUUGCAUGAUAUACCUAAUUUGCAACUCCACCUCGUUUAAGUCCUAGGCCAAAGUCAGAGCACUCUGCUAAACAACACAAGUUCUUUUUAGUGGCAUGCUUUUUAAGUCAGUUUCAUAAAAAACUCUUCACAUCCAUCAUACUUAUCCACAUCUUACCACACUCCAAAAUUGAAUUUCAUGGGAAGCAACAAACUUAUCUCAUUUAGAGCUUUAAGAUUUCAUUAAGCUCCAAAUAGGCACUUAGUUUGGGUAUCAUCCUUACACUGAUGUGCUUCACAGUUUAAAAUGGUAGCGGAGGCGGCCAGAUUUGCUUAGCAAACUAAAAAUAUCCUUUGCAAAAUCUUGAUUACCAGUUAGCAAAAGCCCAUUUAGGAUCCGGUUGAAGGUAAAUUUUCGAGGAAGAAAUCCUCUGUCAACCAUUUCUGUCAAUAGUUUCCCAGCCAAUAAUAAAUCAUCUGAUUUUUUCCUAACAAACAUUGCACUUAUAAAAAUAUUAUAUGUAUCCAGAUUAGGUAAACAAUCGUCGGUACUCAUCCUCUCAAACACCCUCAGGCCCUUCUCAAUUUCCCCUUCAUCACAAUAAUAUCGGAUGACAACAUUAUAAGUCUGAACAUUUGGUUCACACCCAUCCUCUUUCAUCUUAUCCAUAUAUUCCGUAGCCCUGUCCAUUUCUCCAACAUGGCACAAUCCCCUGAUAAUGGCAUUAUAAGUUGUGGCAUUCGGCAAAUAACCUUUCCUCAACAUCUCAUCGAACGACAAAAUAGCAUUUUCCACACUUUCUUACAAAAACUUGUAUCAGCGCAUUAUAAGUUGCAACGGAGGGAAGUAUGCCAGCUCCCACCAUUUCAUUGAACACCUUUUGCGCCUUCUCAACUUCACCCGCAACACCAAAUCCGUGAACCAUAGUAGUGUAAGUAACAACAUCAAUAUCACAUUUUCUCUUCUUCAUCUGCAAAAAGAAUUCCCAAGCUUCCCUAAUCUGUCCUGCUCUAAAGAACCCAUUAAGCAUUAUGUUAUAUGUAGUUAUUGUGGGAUUCAAACCUCUCUCCACCAUUUCUGUCAAAAUCUCUUGUGCUUUAGGUGUUCGCUUAAUUAAACAGAACCCGUUCGCUAGUGUGUUAUAACUAAUCGUAUCAGCUCUGAACCUGCUCUUAAACAUCUUGAACAAAUUAUAAGCCAUCUCGGCCCGUUUAGAUUUACAAAGCACGUCAAGGAAUGCAUUGAAAGAAUUCAAAUCCUGAGGGCAACCAUGUUUAUGCAUAGACAGGAAAACCUUCAACGCUUUAUCAGCUUUCCCAGCAGAUACGUACCUCUCAGUGAUGAUAGCGAAUGUUUUCGGGCUCGGACAGAGCCGCCGAGAUUGCAUUCGGGCCACGAGCUUCCAGACGGUCUUGUAAUCGCGCAUACGAGCAGCGAUGUCAAUAGCAUGGUCAAAAGCUGUAGCAGAGUGAGCAUAGGAACGGUGGUGAUCGAGGAGGUUGAAAAAUUGGAGGGCUUUCGGGCCGUGGUUCCAGAGACGCUUUAGGACAGAGUGAAUGAGGUCAGGUGUCCAUUGGGUGAGUUUGUGAACGGUAUCUGAUAAUGAUUCUGGGUUGUUUUGAAGUAUGAGGUUGGAGAUUGCGGUGGCAUCUGGUGGUGACUGUGACGGCGAUUGCUGUGGUGACGGUGGUGGAAGAGAGGUGAAAUAACGGAGGGAGGUGGAAAUGGGAUUUAGAGGUGCUUUGAGGAUUGUGGUAUUAUCGGAGAUAAUUUAAUUACCAUUCCAUUAUACAAACACAGAAGUACCGUGAUACAUAUGGAAUUGCGGCAUAAAACUAUGAAGAGUCUAAAAGUACGUGAAACAUUAGACCAUACACGGAGAAGCAUCUCCCUUCAUUCUUACAGUCAAGUGGAAAAGUACAUAAUAACCACAGCAAUGGGAAAAAAAUAUUAUCGGAGAUAAUUUAAUUACCAUUCUUUUAUACAAACACAGAAGUACCGUGAUACAUAUGGAAUUGCGGCAUAAAAGUAUGAAGAGUCUAAAAGUACAUGAAACAUUAGGCAAUCAAACACAAUUUAACUGAAAAGGAAAUGAGCACGAAUCCAUCUCGUCAUCCCCGAUUUCCAUUUAGGUUUGUUUAGAACAAAUAUAUUAGAUAACCCAAUUCACUGUGACAUAACCAGAGUUUAUAAUGAAGCCAAAUAAUAACUCUAGAAAACUUACCGAUUUAUGUUGGUGAUUGAUCAUAUUGGCCGCAAAAGGGAAAACAACUAUUAGCCAACUUGAUAGACAUGGCAGCAGAGCAUUGCAUCUAAGCAAAAAGGUUAAAUCAUGAUGGAGUUAGGCCUAGCGCCCUACCCCCCCCCCCAGGCGGAGGGAGAUGGAAAUGGGAUUUAGAGGUGCUUUGAGGAUUGUAGUAUUGUGCAGAUUCAACAUUUCACCGUUCUGCUGAUUAUUGCCCUAAAGAGUAAAGACUGCGUGCAAACAAGUGUUGACGAACCCUUCAACUCAUGUUCGCUUAUUUUCUUAUUUUUAUUUUUUUAGGUGGGUAAUCAAUUAGACUAACCUCUAAAAUUAAAUUGGAUUAGAUCAAUUCAAUAUUUUUAAAUUAAAAUUUAGAUAUACAAAACUAUAGGAAAAAUCUUACAAUAUAAAUACAAUGAUAAAUAUAUUUUAAAAUAUCGGUCCAAAUCCACAUAACUUGACUAUGAAGAAGCAAAAUAUGACAAUUAAACCGGGGAAUAUAAGGGUUGCUUGGUUUGGAAAACUGUGAGAUUAUAAUCACAAAUCUAUAUAUAUAUAUAUAUAAAAAUUUGAAUUAAAGUUAAUUUUGAAUUUAUAGAUAAAGUUCCAAAAUUCGAAUUCAAAUUAAAAAUAAUUAUUUAAACAUGUUAUCAUAAUUAAUUCAGUUAAUGAUCAUAUGUGUGACGACCUGACCCGUCGCCUCAUGAGUUACCACUCUGUUUCCCCCAUUUUAUGCUUCUCUACGCUUCAUUAUCGGUAUUGGAUGUGAUCGGACCGAUUCGGAUUGGUUUUGGUAAGAAAUGAGACACUCAGUCUCUUUAAGGAAUGUUUGGUUUGGAAAAGUCAAUCGGAUAUUGACUUAUGAGUUAGAGGGCUCGGAUGUGAUUUCCGGUGAUUCGGUUAGCUUCGGGGGAUGAUUUGUGACUUAGGAGCAUGAUUGAAAAUAAUUUUGGAGGUCCAGUGUAGAAUUAGUCUUGAAUUGGCGAAGUUAGUAUUUUGGCGAUUUCCGGUUGAUAGGUGAGAUUUUGAUCCGAGGGUUGGAUUAAAAUUUCAAGAGUUGUAGUAGUUUUGUUAGGUAAUUUGGGAUGUGUGUGCAAAAUUUCAGGUGAUUCGGAGAUAAUUUGGUUGGGUUUUUGAUCGAAUGCAAGUUUUGGAAGAUUUUGUAGAACUUAGGCUUGGAUUUGUUGGGAACUGAUGAUUUUAGUGUUGUUUGGUGUGUUUUGAUGAUUGGAACGAGUUUGAGUGAUGUCUUAGGAUGGGUUGGAACUUUUGUUUGAGAUUCGGAGGCCUCAGGGUGAUUUUGGAUAGCUAAUAGAGAGUUUUGGACUUGGUUAGUGCAGCAGAAAAUGCAUCAGCUGUGCAGGCCAAAGUUUUGCCUUCGCGUUCGGGGUCGGUCUCACGCGCUCGCGGAAGGCUAUUUUAUGGGCAAUGCGUUCGUGUAUAAGGGGCCUGGGGUCCUGCCGAGUUUGUUCAUCGCGUUCGCAACCAAGGGGUUCGCGUUCGCGUAACGAGAGUAGCUACAACAUCGCGUUCGCGGCCUAAGGCUCGCGUUCGUGUAGUUUUAUCAGCUUGUGCAUCACGUUCGCAGGUGAGUCACCGUGUUCGCGAAGAGGAAAAGUUGGUCAGUGGAAUUUUGGGCAACGCGAACGGGAUAAGGCCCUCGCGUUCGCAUAGAGCAAAUUGGCACCUGGGCAGAACAGUUUUAUAUUAUUUCCUCCGCGAGCUAAGUCUUAUUUCCUCCAUUUUUGAACAUGCUUGAGAGCUUUUGGACUAGAAUUUAAUAGGGUUUCGACUAGGAUUGAUUGAUAAGUCCUAUGAUCUAAAAACAUGAUUUUAUCGUAGAAUUAACCUAGAAAUUAAUAAAAAUUGAGCAAAAAGGGAAAGAGCUGGGGCUUGAAUUUUAAUAUUUCAAAUUGGCUAUUGAUGGGUCAUUUGAGCUCGAAUUUGAGAGUUCUUAUUAUGUAUAGACUCGUGGCGAGAUAAGGAACCCGCUGAUGUAAAAAAUUUUGAGUUUCGAGAAGUGGGUCUGGUGCUCGGAUUUUGCUAAUUUUGGGAUUUUCGAUAUUUUUCUAUUAUUUUUGAUUGGGUAUUAUUCCCUUAGCAUAUUGUGACGUAUUUGUCGUGGUUUUGGUCAGAUUCAAUGCGCGAGGAGGCCAUUCGAGAGGCAAGGGCAUAUCAAGCUAGAUUUUUGGCCAUCUUGAGGUAAGUAAUGAUUGUAAGUGAUGUCUUGAGAGUUUGAAACCCCGGUUGCACAACGUAGUGCUAUAUUGAGGUGAGACACGCGCUAAAUGACGAGUGCAUGGUUGUUUACUACUGGGGAUUGUGACUUGGUCCAUCCCGAUUGAAUUUUUUACCGCCUAUUUGACCGAGACAUAAAUUGUUAUCAUCAUGACUUGGGCUUAAUGCCAUAUUUGGGCUUCGUGCCAUUUAUUUGGACCCUUGGGGAUUUUCAUCACUAUUUCCUCACUAUUUUGACAUACUAGUUGAACUCAGUCCUAUUGAUUAACACUGUUUUUACAAAUCAGCCACUUUUACUUGAUCUUUGAGACUUAAAUGAUAUUCUAAGAUUGUUUGGGCUGAGCACUAUUGUUUUACUGAUGCUCGAGUUGCUUGUGAUGAUUUUUUGGACUUAUUGAGGCCGAGGGCCAUAUGUGAGGAUAUGUUGAGUGAUGUGAGAAGGAUUUCAGACUUUAUGCGUUAUGUGAGAAGGCUUUCAGGCCUUAUGUCGAUAUGAGAAGGCUCUCAGGCCUUAUGUUGAUAUAGCGCUGUCGACGCCCCCUUUUUCCCUCCUAAAAGAAGCGAAAUCGGGUCUACAACAUUAUGGACAAAACAACUCGUAUUCCCUUUUGGGAAUUGUGUUAAGGAGUUUUAAGAGUCGUCACUUAAUGAUUAUACUGCAUUAGGACACUUUCGAGAAGAAGAAGAUUUUUUGGAUGAAAACCAGAUUUCGGGUAAGGGCUUGAAAUUAUCUCGAGGGGAAGGUGUUAGGCACCCCUCAAGAUCCACUAGUGUAUUUCCCGGCCUUGCUUUGAUGUGACUUUAAGAAGCAUAAAAAUGGACAAGCAAAUGUGUAUAUAAAGAAUAUAAAACUAAUGGGCAAUUUUUGAAAAAAGAAUAGUAUAAGUAAAUGGGAGAUUUUUAGAGAAAAUAUUUAAAUAAAGCAAAAAGAGGGGGGGGGGGGGUUUAUGUUUAACUAUAAUAUGGAUCAUUCGAUACAAUAUCCCGCACAUAUUCCCAAAGAGGGGUCCGUUUAUGAUAUAAUCGCAUCGUCAUUAUCUCCAUAUUCUACCCUUCCUACCCUGUAAAGGUUAUUUAAGUGUGUGAAUUGGUCACGAACACUUAUUGCGUGCUAUUACCCGUCCAGUUCAAUAAAUCCUAGAGGGCACUUAGGAUCACUAUUCCUAUAAGGUCGAAACUAGGCUGACCCCCUAGGUUCAAAGGUUAAAAUGCUAUGUGACAUGCAAAAACAAAUAGGACUUGCACAUAUAGGAAUCAUGUAAAACAUAUAAGGUCUCAUAUAUCCCUCUACAAACGAACAUGUAAUUAGCACGUCUCAAAACACAUUUUGCUAGGCGAUAUACAAAAGCAAAUAGGACUUGCACAUAAAGAAAUCAUGUAAAACAUAUAAAGGCUCAGAUAUCCCUCUACAAACGAAUACGUAAUUAGCACGUCUCAAACACAUUUAAGGUCUAAGGAAGGAAGAAUUUUUCAAAAGCUAGAGUAUAAGUAAAAAAAAGAAACUGGAGAAUUUGCAGAAAAGACUUUAAAGAAAAAUCGUUCAUAACUUAAAAAAGGAGUAGUAGCAGUUUUUAGUAAUAUGCAGGAAUCACUUAGAAACAUUUGUGGAACAUAUGGUAAAACAGUUUUCGGACAUGCAGAGUAAAAGAACAAAUAUGAAGGUAUUUUGAGAUUGCAGAAGUGUGAAGAAAACAAUGAAUAUUAUUAGCUUUCAAAAUUUAUAGAGUUAUAGUAUUCAGAUAGUUUAACAAAUAGUAGUCCAGUUCUAGACAAAAUGUAGUAGAAACUUUUGCAUGGAUAGUUUAAAAUAGGGGCAGAAGUAUACAAAUUAAAAGAGCAACAAAUUCAGACGGAGAUGGAUUGGUUUGAACACGACUUAAAGGUAAUUAGUCAGUUUUUAUCCGGCCUAAGGCUUGCCUAGGCAUUAUUAAAGGUGGUGAACAUGCACAUUUGUUUCCAGUUUUAACAAAGAGUUGUUAACCAAUUUUUAUCCAGAUUAAUGAAGCGUUAAGCAGUUGCAAGUAAAAUCCUAAAGGUAUGAUAUCUAAUGCACAAAAGUCCUAAAAACCAUGGUAUCUAAAUGUGAUGGUAAUGACUUGUUGGUUAUUGAUUAAUUUGUAACUGAAGACGUGCAGAAUAACAACUGAGAGUGAUAAGCCUAAGAACAUGAUUUCUAUAUGCAAAGAUGCAUGUCCUAAAGCAUGGUAUCUAUUGCACAAGUAAGUAAAUAAAGCCCUAUAAACAUAUUUUCUACCCAUUCCCUUAACUAAGCAUGCAUAACCCUCCCAAUUCACUAUAACCCUCCCAAUUCACUAUAACCCCCAUUAUUUUUUACAAAUUAUUAAAGCCCUAAUAAUCAAAUUACAACAGUGGUAAAAAAGAAAGAAAAUAAAAAGUUAUUCUAUAGGAAGCCUUCAGCCAGGCCAAGCAUCUCCAACCUCACUUCUUCCGAGUUUCACAGGCAUUACCAAGGCUUGGGCGCGGUAAAGUUCAAUAAGGGUUGGUUUAAACCCUAGCCAAUACCAAGCACCCAAAAUAUCAUUAUUUGAUAAGUGCAAGUGUGGAAGUGCCAGCCUUGUGCAUCAAAGUUCAAUGGGUGUUCAAGGGCUCCCAUGGAAAUGCUUGCACUAAGGGAGCAUAACCUAAUGUUCUAAGAGUAGUAAGAUUGUGAGAGAGUUGAAAACAAUUGAGACAGUUUGAGAAAACAGUUGAAAGAGUUCUUUUGAAAUCAUUUGGACUGACUAGUUUUNNNNNNNNNNNNNNNNNNNNNNNNNNNNNNNNNNNNNNNNNNNNNNNNNNNNNNNNNNNNNNNNNNNNNNNNNNNNNNNNNNNAAAAAAAAAACAGGGCAUCACACAAACAAAAGAAAAAGGGAAGGAAACAAAUAAGCAAAAUAAACUACUCACGCAGGCAACACAUUGGAGGAAAGUAAUCAGACAUGGUUGCAAAAUAAGAGUUCAGUUCUUACUGCACCAAACUAUAAUACAGUCAACCUCAGUAAGAGGUUUUAGGCCAAUCAAGUAGCCAAGUAGACAUGGAUACAUGGUAGUGAUACACAAGGAAAAAGUAAACAUUCAUUGAGAUGAGGGAUGGGGUAAGGGGAGCAUGCUGAGUUAAACUAAGCAGACUAAUAAACACAUGCUAGUGACAAUAAGAGCAGCAGAACCAUAGGUCAAAACACAAGGAACAUGAUGAAGUGCAGAAUUAACAAAAAGCACUGUAUACUAAUUAGAUGACAUACCAGUUGCAGGAAAAUAGAACACAAACACACACAAGGAACAAGAUGAAGUGCACUACUAACAAAAGCAUGUUGUUUUGGAAACUGUAUACUAAAUAGAUGACAAACCAGUUGCAGGCAAAUAGAACACAAGAGCAAUGAGCACUAAUGAACAAGAGGAGAGCAAAGUGUGCAGAGAAUGAGAGCAGUAGUGUGAGAACAACAGUGCAGAGAAGCAAGCAGCAAGCAAACCUAAGCAACCAAUGCAGUAGAACCCCAGUAGUGUAGAAAUAAACAACCAAGAUUACUCAAUCUUGGCUUUCAUCCGAUUGAGUGAGAGAGUUUGUAUAGAAACAAAAGAGAAAAGGAGAACACUGAGUGUUAUUGAAAGAGGGUUCAUAGAGAUUGCAAUGUGUGUUGGUGUGUUAAGUGAGAAAGGAAUAACAGUACUUAUAGUUUUUGAAAAAAUAGUAGAGAAUAGAGUAAGAAGUAUAUAAUUAUAGAAACAAUACCAAAUUGAAUCAAUCACAGGUCCUAAUUCAACUAAAUCAGGGACUCAUGAUUCGAAUAGGAGCGUAGGCUAUCAAGUAAAGAAAGAAUAAGUCAGAUGACUGAUUAUACCAUAACAAAAAGCAGUAAGCAUGCUGCAUGUAAUAAAGGCUAGGUACAUAAUCAUUCAGACAAGGAAAAUAUAUGCUGAAUAACCAAAAAUAUAUUUAAGUGCACAAGUAUGGUAACCUUAUAAAUCAACUAUGAAAAAUCAGUCAAAGGAUCACGGGCAAGACAAAAAUCAAAGGGAAUUAUUCCCAAAGAUAGAAAGCAAACUCACAAGUAAGGAAACAAUUUGAAAAAUCAGUGUAAGAAUACCUACAAAUCAGGGAUUCAAAAGAUGCUCGGAAUUAAUAAAAUAUUCAGUAAAGAAAGGCAUUCAAAUUUAUUUAAGCACAACAAUAACAAAACUAAGAACCAGAAUUAACAAAAUAUCAGUAAAGAAAGGCAUUCAAAUUUAUUUAAGCACAACAACCAUAAAACUAAGAACCGUAAACAAGAAAUUGCAUAAAACAGUGGGGAGUCGGAACCCUAUAAGAGAUUUAAGACAUGGAACUCAGAAAACAAAAGGUUUCAAGUACAUAACAUAGGAAUAAUCACAUAAUACCCAAAGAAACAAAAGCCUAAUGAUUUUUAAAAAGGGGUGAGAGACCCUGGUUUUGAAAAGAGGGACAAAACGUUUGAAAACUUGAAUUAAUCAAAGAUAUCAAGUGAAAAGUAGUGUAAAAAUGAAGAUUAAAUCGGAAGGAGGAACAAAACAUUCGAAAACUUGAAUUAAUCAAAGAUAUCGAGCAAAAAGUAGCGUAGAAAACAAAGAUUAAACCGAAAAUUGCUUAAAGAGACAGAGGUUUAAGAGAUUUAGGCAAAAAAUUAGGGUUUGCAAAUAAAUUAGGGAGAUGAGAAACCUGGCUGUGAAACUCAUAUAAUAUCGAUAUUCAAGCAUCAUCGGACCAAAACCCAUCAGAGAAAGGCCGGGAACAGACCCAGCCAAAGCUUCAACAACCAUCUUUCAUGGCAGAAGCUUCUGGGCUUCAAACUUUAGAUAGAAACAACAAGAUGAAGGUUCCAUGGUGAAUAGCGGUAGAGAGGAGUGAGGGUGGAGGUGGCCGGAAUGACGAUGAAGGCCAUCGGAGAAUAGAGAGAGAACCAGAAGGUUCUAGAGAGAACUCAGAGACGAAGGGUGUUAGAGAGAGAGAGACCGGUCUCUUGCAAAUGAGGGUGAGGAGUAGGGGUUAUUAGGUUUUAAUUUUGGUAAUUAAAUCUUGGCCGUUAAUCUCAUUUGAUCAGCGGCUCACGGUCUCUUGCAAAUGAGGGUGAGGGGUAGGGGUUAUUAGGUUUUAAUUUUGGUAAUUAAAUCUUGGCCGUUGAUCUUAUUUGAUCAACGGCUCAGAUCGAAUCAAGGCUGGGUCGGGUUGUUAAAGGGGUAUGGGUUGGGUUAUUUUAUGAAUUGGAUAGCCUAAAUGAGUUCAAAACUGGGCUGAUAUGGGGUUCAAUUUAGGCUAUAAUGUAAAUAAAAUCUAGCUAACUUUUAAAUAGCCAAUUUCUCCCAAUUUAUUUUAUAAAAUAAUUUAAAAAGUAAAAUUAAAAGCACAGAACUAAUUAAUAACAUAUAAAUAUUAAUCUAUAAAUAUUAGAAAUAACUUUAUAACUAUGAAACAUAGUUAAUUGCAAAAGUAGUCCAUAAUUGCAAUUUCAUGCAACUACCUUUAAAAUUUCCAAAUAAAUUUGUAAAAAAUGUGCAAAAAUUAAAUAAACUAUAUCUUGUUAUAAAUAUGAGAGUGAAGCUCAUUAUUCACUAAAAAAAUAAUAAUUUGGAAAUAAUUUGGUAUACUGUCAAAAAUAGGCAGUAAAUUAAUUUUUAAAAUCUUAAAAAUUAAGGAAAAAUACCAAAAUUUCCUAGCAUGCUUAUAUAUGCAUACAUAUUCUAUUUUAAAAGAAUUUUGGGUACAAAAUAUAUAUAGUGAAAAAUUGGGUAUCAACAACCGCCCCUUUUUACCUGAGGAGGAUGAAAGAGUUGUCGGAUAAAGAUAAGAUGACCAAUUUUGACCGGAAUUGCGAUUAUAAGAGAACUUUUACCGUGCUCUGGUUUAUGAGCUGCCUACAUAUCUCUUGUUUUACAGGAAUCAGGGCAUAUGUAGUUCAAAAAUCAUUGGCAGAAUAUGCCGAUGGAGGCUUGAAAUAACGGACGCGAUGGUUAGAUUUGAAAGGGAUUUGUAGGUUGGAUGAACUGCAGAGAACUGGAGCAGGAUCACCCCUGCUGAGAGGGCCGUGAGCUAAUCAGAACACAUGCAAAUGGACAAUGCGCAUAUAUCUUGCGUAAUUUAAACGUGACACAAGUUCCCAUUGUACCAUAAAUGUUUGUCCUUGGACGGUCAGGAUGAUGUCCUCAGACUAUGAUGUCCUGGUCCAUGAAAAUCAUAAAAGUAAAGGUUCAUAGGCCAUGGAAUGAUGUUCUAGGGCUAUGCAAAUGGUGCUUUCGAACUAUGACGCCUUUGAACGAGUUGCGAUCUUUCAGCCUAUGAGAAAAGUGCCAAUCUUUCAGCCAAAUGAAUGCAAAGGGUGGUGAUCAUUCAGCCCGAGCGAGAAACUAAAACAGAUGGCGAUAUUUCAGCUGGAUGAGUAUUUCAAAUGCAGGUGGCGAUGUUUCAGCCAGUCGAAGAAUAAAGCGGUGAUAUUUCAGCCAGGCAGAGGGGAGACAAUGCUUAGUAUCGAAAGGCAAAUGAUAGUCUUAUGCAAUGUGGUGGUAGAGCUUAACCUCAGAAGGCAGAGAUUAGCCUUAUGCAGGAUGUGAAUGGAGACAAAGCUUAGUCUCGAAAGGCAGAAGGUAGACUUAUGCAAGAUGGAAGUAGAGUUUAACCUCAAGCAGCAGAGAAUAGCCUUAUGCAAUGCAGGAUGGAGACAAAGCUUAGUCUCGAAAGGCAGAAGAUAGCCCUAUGCAAGAUGGAGGUAGAUCUUAACCUCGAAAGGCAGAUGAUAGCCUUAUGCAAUGCAUAAUGGAGACAGAGCUUAGUCUCGAAAGGCAGAAGAUAGCCUUAUGCAAGAUGGAGGUAGAGCUUAACCUCGGAAGGCAGAGAAUAGCCUUAUGCAAUGUAGGACGGAGAUAGAGCUUAGUCUCGAAAGGCAGAAGAUAGCCUUAUGCAUGAUGGAUGUAGAGCUUAACCUCGGAAGGCAGAGAAUAGCCUUAUGCAACGAAAAAGUGUAAAUGAGAAGAUAUCAGUGAUCUUCUUAGCUGGUAGACGAUUGCGAUAUCCUGACUGCUGGGGAAAUGUGGGGUGUAGAUAGUAAGCUUUUAUGAAGUGAGUGAGAGUUUCCGACUCUAUAGAGCAAAUACAUUGUUAACUCGUGUCCCGAAUUCCUAUAUCCAAAGAAAAAUCGUGAGUUCUGUAAAGGGAGAGGUUAGUUCGUGUCUCUCGGCUCGUGACAUCCUGUGCCAUUUGGGGUAGCGUUGCUAAACUAUAGCGAUCCAAAUGACUUUAUGCAAAAUUUGACAAACAUGAUGCAAAUGUAUAUAUAUUUAGUAAAGAGAAGAAUAAUUUUGUUUUAUGAUGAACCAACAACUACAACGUGGUUCAAGACACGACGACCUCGUUUGCUUCAGAAUUAUGAGGGUCCUCCUCAGAAAUUUGCCCUAACAACGUGGUUCAAGACACGGCGACCUCAUUUGCUCCAGAAUUUUGAGGAUCCUCCUCAAAAUUCUGCCCCAGUUUAUUGGGCUGGUGCUACUGGUGGAUGUGCUGAAUAACCGAACGCGGAAAAAUUCCAGAAUUUUGAGGGUCCUCUUCAAAAUUCUGCCCCAGAUUGUUGGGUCAGCGCUGAGAAAUUGACUUCAAAAUUUUUAGGGACCUCCUCAAAAUUUUGUCCCAGUUACAAUAGCGGGGGAAAUGGAAUUUUUUAUUAAAAUGUGACCUAACCCAUAGGGCUGCCUACACAUCCCCUCUUAAACGGGAAUCAGGUCAGGCGUAGUUCAAAUUACAUCAUAAAGGAAAGCACAAUGAUCAAAUAUAGUAUCUGUUCACUGCGUCUGAGUUGAUAGGCUUCAACCAAAUUUCUUUGUCCAUUUCUGCGAGAAUAAGGGCUCCUCUAGUUAGAACCCGAUGAACCAUGUAUGGAACACGCCAGUUGGGAGAGAAUUUCUCUUUGGCUUAAACUUGAUGUGGAAAUAUUUUUUUCAACACCAGCUACCCUGGUAUAAACUUCCUUGGAUUGACUCUCUUGUUGAAGGCUCUGGACAUUCUUUUUUGAUAUAAUUGACCGUGACAGACAACAUUCAUUCUCUUCCCGUCGAUGAGGGCUAACUGCUCGUAGAAAUUUUUGACCCAUUCUACAUAAUCUAAUUCUGCUUGUUGUAUGACCCUUAAGGAUGGAAUUUCUACGUCAGCGGGAAUGACCGCCUCCGUACCAUAAACCAGUAUGUAAGGAGUGGCCCCAAUUGAUGUGCAGACCGUGGUACGGUAACCCAAUAAAGCGAACGACAAUUUCUUAUGCCAGUGCUUGUGCUUUUUAAUCAUUUUCCUUAGUAUCUUCUUGAUGUUCUUAUUGGCUCCUUCUACAGCUCCGUUCAACUGAGGUCUGUAAGCCGUAGAGUUCUUAUGUCUGAUCUUGAAUGUUUCACAUAUUGCUUUCAUUAGGUCAUUGUUGAGGUUAGAGCUGUUGUCGGUGAUGAUUGAUUUUGGAACCCCGAACCGACAAACCAUACGAUCUCGGACAAAAUCUGCAACUACCUUCUUGGUGACUACCUUGUAUGUUGCUACUUCAACCCAUUUGGUAAAGUAAUCGAUUUCCACUAGGAGGAACCUGUGCCCAUUUGACGUGGCUGGCUCAAUUGAUCCAAUGACGUCCAUACCCCCAAGCAGCGAACGACCAUGGUGAGCUUGUUGCAGUAAGCUCAUUUGGAGGCUCCUUUAUCAUAUCUACAUGUAUUUGACAACGGUGACAUUUCCAGACGUAUUGAAUGCAGUCCAUCUCCAUAGUCAUCCAAAAAUAACCUACUCGAAGUAUCUUCUUCGCCAAAAUGAAACCAUUCAUAUGUGUUCCACAAGUCCCUGCGUGCACUUCCUCCAAUAGCCUGGUUGCUUCUUUUGCCUCGGCACACCUUAAUAGCCCCAAAUCAGGAGUCCUCCUAUAAAGGAUUCCUUCGUUGUGAAAGAAAUUAUUGGAAAAUCUCCGAAGUAUUCGUUUCUGAGUAGUAUUGGCAAGCUUUGGGUACCCUCCUGUUGUCAAAUAUUCCCUGAUAUCAUGGAACCAAGGUUUCCCAUCGACUUUUUCCUCGACGCGAGCACAAUAAGCUGGCUGGUCAUGAAUCUUGACCGGGAUGGGAUCAAUAAAGUUUGUAUUCGGAUGCUAGAUCAUGGAUGAUAAAGUGGCUAAAGCAUCGACAAACUAGUUCUGUGUUUUGGGAACUUGCUGGAAUUCCGUCUUUCUGAAUCUUUUCCUCAACUCUUGCACAUGGUGUACAUAAGGGAGUAUCUUGGAAUUUUUGGUUGCCCAUUCUUCUCGAACAUGAUGUAUGAGUAGGUCUGAAUCUCCGAUCACUAGCAGUUCCUGAACAUUCAUGUCAAUGGCCAGCUUGAGCCCUAAGAUACAGGCUUCGUACUCGGCCAUAUUAUUGGUGCAAGGGAAUCUGAUCUUGGUGGACACGGGGUAAUGCUGACUAGUUUCUAAUACCAAAACUGCUCCUAUACCCACUCCUUUGAAGUUUACAGCUCCGUCGAAAAAAUAUCCUCCAACCAUCAUAGGAUUCCGCAAUAUCUUCUCCUAUGAAGGCUAUUUCUUCAUCGGGAAAGUACGUCUUUAAGGGUUCAUAUUCUCCUCCUACAGGAUUCUCAGCGAGGUGAUCUGCCAGGGCUUGUCCUUUGAUUACCUUCUGCGUAACAUAAAUGAUGUCAAAUUCACUUAAUAAUAUCCUCCACUUGGCGAGCUUGUAGUAGGUAUGGGUUUCUGGAAAAUAUAUUUCAAUGGAUCCAUCCUAGAUAUGAGAUGAGUGGUGUAAACGCAGAAAAAAUGCCUCAAUUCUGAGCUACCCAGGUUAAAGCACAACAAGUGCGCUCUAAUAAGGAAUAGCGAGCCUCGUAAGGGGUAAACUUCCUACUGAGGUAGUAAAUGGCAUGCUCCUUCCUUCAUGUUUUGUCAUGUUGUGCCAAAACACAACCAAAUGCCCCAUCUAAUACUGUGAGAUAAAGCAAUAUAGGUCUCCCUGGCUCGGGUGGAACCAGGAUUGAUGGCGUUGAAAAGUAUUCCUUGAUUCUGUCGAAAUCCUUUUGACAAUCAUCAGUCCAUUUAGUGGCAACAUCUUUCUUUAGCAUCUUGAGGAUGAGUUCACAAAUGACAGUGGACUGAGCUAUGAAUUGGCUGAUAUAGUUGAGUCUCCCCAGAAAACUCAUUACCUCUUUCUUAUUCUUCGGCAGUGGAAACUCCUGAAUGGCUUUGGCCUUUGACGGGUCCAACUCUAUACCCCGGUGACUCAUGAUGAAACCCAAUAGUUUUCCGGCUGGGACCCUGAAUGCACACUUGACGGGGUAGUUUCAGGUUGUACCUCCUUAGUCUGUUGAAGAAUUUUCUCAAAUCUUCCAUGUGAUCUGCAACUUUUCUGGAUUUAAUGAUGACAUCGUCCACAUAUAACUCGAUCUCCUUGUGUAUCAUAUCAUGAAAAAUUAUGGUCAUGGCUCUCAUGUAAGUAGCACCAGUAUUCUUCAAACCGAAGGACAUCAUUCUAUAACAAUACAUUCCCCACGGCGUGAUGAAUGUCGUUUUCUAUGCAUCCUCUUCGUCCAUCCAUAUCGAUGGUACCCAGCAAAACAAUCGAUGAAUGACUGCAGCUCAUGUUUGGCGCAGUUAUCGAUCAAUAUGUGUAUAUUUGGCAAAAGAAAGUCGUCUUUAGGACUGGCCCGGUUGAGAUCCCGGUAGUCGACACAGAUUCUAACCUUCCCAUCCUUCUUUGGUAUCGGCACAACGUUGGCUAACCACGUUUGAUACUCCACUACUUUGAGAACCCUGGCUUUGAUUUGCUUUGUGACUUCUUCUUUGAUUUUCAAAAUCAUGUCUGGCUUGAAUUUUCUUAGUUUCUGCUUGACCGGUGGGCAUGUCGGAUCUGUUGGAAACUUGUGAGCCACAAUGGACGUGCUGAGGCCGGUCAUAUCAUCAUACAACCAGGUGAAUAUGUCCUCAUACUCUUUCAAAAAUUUUGUGUAUUCUUCCUUUUUGGAUGGUGACAAGUGUAAGCUAAUUCGUGUUUCCUUGAUAUUUUCUGCAUCUCCCAGAUUAAUGACCUCAGCUUCGUUUGUUCUCAAAAUUUUGACCUCUUUAACAACCUCUUAUGGUAUUUCAUCCUCUUCUGAAUCUAUGUCCAUUUGUCGCAUUGUCUCGUUGCAAGUUACAGUCAUUGGUUCAUCAUUAAGAUAUGUAAUAGUAAUGUUGUGUAAAAUAAAGUAAAUGGUAAAAAAAAUAAAUGAGAGCAAAAUAUAAAGAUAAACUUGGAAAAUGCUUUUGAUUAAAUUCAUAAUUUUCUGAAACAUCGGAGCUCUUUUCAAAAGUAAAGACAAUGCUGAAAAGUAAAAUCAACUAAAAGUAAAGUGCGAUGCAAUCAGAGCCCUUUUUCAAAAGUAAAGACAAUUUUGAAAAGUAAAAUCAACUAAAAGUAAAGUGUGAUGCAUGUGUGUCAUUUAGCCUUGCUUCCCCGAGGCUCUACGGGCACUUGUGGUCCUGAUUGACCAAUUGGUGAGGUGUUCUCCCUGGUUCACAUCUUGAAUGGAAGGGCCUUCCUCCCCUUCCUCCUCGAAGGUAACACAACAAUCCAUGUCAUCCUUGAGAAACAGGUUCUUCAUGGUUGCUAGCGUCUCAUUUUCCUCUGAUAUGACAUCACCGGGCUGAAAGGUCUACUCUAACUACGGUAGAGGGUGCUCCAAUGGGUAGUAGGGACCGCGCCAUGGUGGCGACCAGUGCAUGAUAAAAUGAACACAAUAAUUUCUAUCUUUUUGUUGAGUUGUAGCUUAUUGGUUUUUCAAGCAAAGACCGAAAUCACAGAGAAGAUAUCUGAAAAUGCUAGGAAUUCAAAGUGUCAGCAUGUUCAUCAACUAGUUUCUUUGGGAUCAAGUAGUUGAAGAGAGCCAUAUAAAAUUGAGAGAAUUAAAUUCCUUAUUGAACUGUUUCCCCCUUUAUUGGGUAACAACAACACCAUCAAAGUCAUUUCAAAGAUUCAGUAAAUGUAUGACCGCAAUUUAUUUUCUAAACCUUCAUCAAGAAUAAAAGAGGGAAAAAGGAACGUGUACACACGAAUGUGGUUUUAACUGGGUGUCACCAUCAGUGUCCUUUUUUGUGCAUAUAUCAACAACAAGAAGUGCUGAAUUAUCCUGUAGAAGAAAAAAUGGGAGAAUUUUGAUAUUGUAUUUGUGCAUAUAUCAACAACAAAAAGUGCUGAAUUAUCUGGUAGAAGCAAAAAUGGGAGCAUUUUGAUAUUGUUCGAUGACAUUGUGCACCUCCGUUUGCAUGAUAUACCUAACUUACUCCACCUCGUUUAAAUCCUAGGCCAAAGUCAGAGCACCAUGCUAAACAACAAAAGUUCUUUUUAGUGGCAUGCUUUCUAAGUCGGUUUCAUCUAAAACUCUUCACAUUCAUCAUACUUAUCCACAUCUUUCCACACUCCAAAAAUGAAUUUCCUGGGAAGCGACAAGCUUAUCUCAUUUAGAGCUUUAAGAUUUCAUUAAGCUCCAAAUAGGCACUUAGUUUGGGUAUCAUCCUUACACUGAUGUGCUUCACAGUUUAAAAUGGUAGCGGAGGCGGCCAGAUUUGCUUAGCAAACUAAAAAUAUCCUUUGCAAAAUCUUGAUUACCAGUUAGCAUAUGUGCUUCACAGUUUAAAAUGGUAGGGGAGGCGGCCAGAUUUGCUUAGCAACCUCAAGAUCUCCUUUGCGAAAUCUUGAUUACGAGUUAGCAAAAGCCCAUUUAGGACCCGGUUGAAGGUAAAUUUUUGAGGAAGAAAUCCUCUGUCAACCAUUUCUGUCAAUAGUUUCCUAGCCACUAAUAGAUCAUCUGAUUUUUUCCUAACAAACAUUGCACUUAUAAAAAUAUUAUAUGUAUCCAGAUUAGGUAAACAGCCGCCGGUACUCAUCCUCUCAAACACCCUCAGGCCCUUCUCAAUUUCCCCUUCAUCACAAUUGCAUCGGAUGACAACAUUAUAAGUCUGAAUGUUUGGUUCACACCCAUCUUCUUUCAUCUUAUCCAUAUAUUCCGCAGCCCUGCCCUUUUUUCCCACAUUGCACAAUCCCCUGAUAAUGGCAUUAUAAGUUGUGGCAUUCGGCAAAUAACCUUUCCUCCACAUCACAUCGAACACCAAAAUAGCAUUUUCCACACUAUAUUUCUUACACAAGACUUGUAUCAACGCAUUAUAUGUUGCAACGGAGGGAAGUAUGCCAGCUCCCACCAUUUCAUUGAACACAUUUUGCGCCUUCUCAACUUCACCCGCAACACCAAAUCCGUUAACCACAGUAGUGUAAGUAACAACAUCAAUAUCACAUUUCCUCCUCUUCAUCUGCAAAAGGAAUUCCCGUUCGCUAGUGUGUUAUAACUAAUCGUAUCAACUCUGAACCUGCUCCUAAUCAUCUUGAACAAAUUAUAAGCCAUCUCGGCCCGUUUAGAUUUACAAAGCAACAUAGCUUCGAUUACUUUUGGAACAUCUUGUUCGUCCAUAUUUACCCCAUGGUUUUUCUUUGAUCUUAUAUUCUUCUUGAUUCGGCACACAACAAUAUCCUCCUUAGGAAUAUUGUUUUCUCUAAAGAAAUCAUC
rnacentral:lncRNA from 1 species